rnacentral:rRNA from 1 species
AGUGAACGCUGGCGGCAGGCCUAACACAUGCAAGUCGAGCGGCAGCGGGUCCUUCGGGAUGCCGGCGAGCGGCGGACGGGUGAGGAAUACAUCGGAAUCUGCCCUGUCGUGGGGGAUAACCUAGGGAAACUUAGGCUAAUACCGCAUACGACCUACGGGUGAAAGCGGGGGAUCGCAAGACCUCGCGCGACAGGAUGAGCCGAUGUCCGAUUAGCUAGUUGGCGGGGUAAAGGCCCACCAAGGCGACGAUCGGUAGCUGGUCUGAGAGGAUGAUCAGCCACAGUGGGACUGAGACACGCCCCAGACUCCUGCGGGAGGCAGCGGGGGGAAAUAUUGGAAAAGGGGCGCAGGCCUGACCCACCCUGGCCGGGGGGGGGAAGAGGCCCUUCGGGUUGAAAGGCCUUUUUGCCGGGGAGAAAAUGUUCGGGGCAAAUCCCCCGGGGGGAGGAGGGUACCGGAAGAAUAAGCCCCGGCUACCUUCGUC